GGGAGCUUGGAUGUGGAAGCUCUUUGGAAACCAAGAAACACUCUGCAAAUGAAAAGGGUGGAAGAGUAAACUGUUCCCGUUUCUCCAAAUUGACAGGAAGCAGAAGUUCUCCUUAGCUGAUUUUUCUUCUUGCCUUAUACUGGGUUCUUUAACACCAGAACAAAAAUAAAUAAAUAAAAGAAUCUUCCAGAAAUUCAUGAAGAGACUUCAGGUCAGGAAAGCCUGAACUUUCUCAUCUAACACCUGUUCAAGUCGGAGGAUGCUGAUUAAUUCAUGAUGGAAAGGUAUCAAUUUCACAGCCCAGACUUCUACAUUCUUGAAAUGCUGUUCUCAUGGGAGACAUUAAAUAAGCUUUGAAAUAACUUAAGCCCUUAAGUAAAGGUGCCAUCAAAUGAUUUCUCAGAAAUUAUAAAGAAACAAAAGGACCAUAAACAAGAUAAGGUGGCACGAGGAAACACUAAAAGUACCUUUCAGAGCUGACUGGCAAAGAAACUCCUGAGGUGAUGGUUCUACCCCAAUAUUACUUCUUCCAAGAGCAACCUAACUGGACUUAUCUUCCUCAGUUCCCUGUGGGGAACUUUUGUAGAGCCACACGAAAGGAGGUUUUUAGCUCUCACCUAUGGUCUUCAUCAUGCACCUCCUAGAUUCAAAAGUUCAGCAGGGGCAUGUCAAGCUAUAUAAAUAAAAACAAACUAAGACAAAAAUGUAACAUUCCAUACCUUAAAAUGCAACCUUAAUAACGUGAAAGACCCUGAAGGACUUGAGAUGUGAAGAUUUUCUACCACGGUCUUUGCAUGUAUUAUUUCUGACAGCUGUUCCUUUCUAUUCCCUCUUGCACACAUCUUUAGUUACUCCCUGUUCUCCAUCCCUCUGAU
rnacentral:antisense_RNA from 1 species